AUCACUUCUUAGCCUUUUGGCUAAGAUUAAGUGUAGUAUUUUUUCUUAUCUCUAAUGUGUGAUGACUGUCACAAAUUAUGGAAGUCAAAAGAGAUGUAAAUGAUCUGCUAUUAUCCAUAAUGUGUAACACACCACAGUUCAGCAUACGUCUCCACUGCACAGCACAUUUCUGUAUGGGUAGGCUAUAUUUC